CAAGUCUGUUUCCCGGUAACACAUUAGCUCUGAAAGCGGCUUUCUCACACCUCCAUGGAACGAGCCCUGGACACUGGCCUCUUUGCUACCCUAGACUUGCUCCCAGUCCCACCUCAACCCCGUAAGUCUUACCCCACUCCUACAUUUUUUCUGUGGGGUUGAGAGGGUUUUGGCAAAGAUUAGAAUCUUUUCACUGGGGACACUGGCAUUUCACAGCCUCCCUGCUCAUUAGCAGUCUGGCCCAUUAGCUCCCUCAAACACAGUGAGGAAACCAGCUCAAUCUAGUUUACCCCUAGAACAGAAGCCCAUUAUCAGCAGCCCAAAUAUCCUUUUGCAUUUUGCAUUGCACUUACUAGUUCCACAUAUGUUUUGGUUAAUAGUAAUACCAUCUUCCUAGUCACUAAGUUGAAGUCUCGGUUUCCAUCCAUGUAGAUACAGCACACAUACCCUGUACUUUCAAGUGUUUCAAGAACCCAGCUACCCCUCAUAGUCUCCAUUUCUCCCAGCCUGAUGCCAGCCACUGUCAUCUCCUGCCUGGACUACUUUCAAACCCUGAUGGAUGUCCCUGUGUUGCCUCUGACUUUUCCUAGUUUAUUCUCAGUACCGCCAGUAGAGCCAUGCUAAACUGAACAUGGGACAGAUCCUGUCAGUGCUGUAUUUAUUGUCUUCCUAUGGCAUUGCCUGUCUCAGAGAAAUUUUAACACCAUAGUACCCCACCCUACCCCAACAGCUCCUUCGCCUGUUCAUUUCCUGUUCUCCCUCUACCACUACUACCAUUGCAACAUCUGAAUGCCAGCUGGUACUUUUGCCUGGAAUAUGCUUCCCCACAUACCCAGAUGGUUCACUUCUGCAUGUUCCAGUCUAUGCCCCAGUGCUGGAAAUAGAACACAAGGCUUUGCAAGUGGAAGGCAAGUGCUUUUCCAUUGAGCUACAAUGCCCAACUCCCAGCUCCUCUGUUAGGACUCAUGAGUAGUCACUAUCUGAGACAGGGCCAUCCCUCGGCUGCUGGUUCUGGGUUAUAUAAGAAAGCAGGUUGAACAAGUCAGUAAGCAGCUCUGCUCCAUGGCCUCUGCAUCAGUUCCUGCCUCCAGCCCUGAUUUCCUUCAGUGAUGGACUAUGAUGUGGAAGUGCGAGCCAAGCAAACCCUUCCCUCCCCAAGUGGUAUUUGGUCAUAGUGCUUUAUCACAGCAAUAGUAAUCCUUACUAAGAAAGGAUCAAAAAUCUAAGACUCCAACAACUAAUGAAGCAUACAUACUCCCAUCUCAACCAUUGUCCUACAUGAGUAUACACAUACUGGCACAUGCACAAACACAAAUACACACUCAUUCAACAAGAAUCUAGAGACAGUGUUGAGGAUGAGUUCACACAGAUACACACACAUGCACACUCACACACACUCACCCAGUGGAUGGAUGAGUUAACUUCCUCAUCAAAGUAGCAUGCACUUAUUUCCGUUCUCUGACAUUGAAGGUGCCUCAAUCACAAGUUUCUACUGGGCACAGUGGCCCCACAUGUAACCCCAGAAUUUUGGAGGACAGGCAGGAGGAUCAAUAGUUCGAGGCUACCCUGGGCUAUACAGUGAUACUCUCUCUGAGAAAAAAAAAUAGCUUCUAAAAAAUUUCUCUUAAUUGUAUGUUUUAAAUUUUUAUGUAAGGGGUAGGGGAAAUGGCUCAGUGGUUAAGAGCACUGGCUGCUCUUGUAGGGGACCGGGGACCUGGGUUUGGUUCCCAGCACCCCGAUGGCAGCUCACACCGCCUGUAUUUUAACUCUAGUUCUUGGGGAUCUGACUCUAGCAUCUGGCCUCCUCAUUAUCAGGCAUGCACGUGAUGAGUAUUCAGGCAUUUGGGCCAACAUAAAAAACAUAUAUAAACCUUAAAAAUAUUAUGUCUUCUUUACAAAUCUGGCAGAAGUUCUAUUUGUUUAUCUGCCUUUAAGUAAAAGGCAUAUUGGUUUGUUACUGUUUCAAUGAUAACCUUAAGCAAAGCAUUAACUAACUUUACUUAAAAUAUUACUUAACUCUCAGAAAACAUUCCCUUAAAUGACCCUCUUCUCUCCUUCCUCUCUCCUAUAGACUCAGUCAGCUAGCUAGCCACAGGCCCAUUUAUUUAACUUCCCUACUCAGCCUCUUGCUCGCUGUAGGAACUGUUCCCUUUUCCCAUUCUGAUCAAACGUCUUGCUCCUAGGAGACCAGUCAAGAGGCUCUUCCCAACAACUCUUCUGCAGCUUAAAUCUGAGUCUCUGAAGUCAUUAAGGACCCUUAGAACCCAGGGGAUGUUAAGACCCAUACUUAUGCAACCUUACCCAUACCACGACUUGGAGUCUUUCCAGAUCCAGGUGACUUAAAAAAAACACUGGCUCCACCAUUUCCACCUACCAUUCAUAGGUUCCACUCUGACCUGGGUACUUACUCCUCUAAGAAACUGAACAGAAGGCUUCAUUUCUAGAGCCUGGAUCUUUACUUCACUCUCACUAUCUGUUGCAGUCAGUUUGGGUUGCUGCAACAACGAUGUCAUAGGGCAGGUGGUGUAUAAAUAGAAACUAAUUUCUCCCAGCUUUGGAAACAUCGAGAUCAAUUUGAAAUCACACUAUCUGGUGAGAGCCUGCUUGCUUUCUCACAGUCAUCAUCUCGUUGUGACUUCAUGUGAGAAGAGUCAAAGGAAGAGUGUGUGGGGCCUUUUUGAAAAGGACCAAUCCUACUCACUAGGCUUCUGUCUCCAGGGCCUGCUGGACUUCCAAUGGCUCUACUUCCUCGUCCUACACUGGGAGUUAGGGUUUCAGUGCAUAGCUUUUGGGGACACAAACAUUCAGACCACUGUACAAUCCAUCCAGACGUCCAGCAAGAGAUCUCUGCAUCACUUCCACAUCACUUACCCUGCUCCCUUCUUUCCCUAUGUGCUGCAUUAAUCAGUUUUAUCAUUUCUGAUAAACAACUUCAGGAAGUGGAUUGUUUACUGAUCUAAUUGCUGUGACAAAAGCACCUUCAGGAGGUUGACCUUGGCUCACAGUGCAGGGUUCAGUCUAUCACUCCAUGCACUGACUUUUCAAUCUCCUCAAUAUGUCCCUUGAUAAGGAGAACUUGAGGUUCUGAUGUAGUUCAAUUUGUCUGUUUAAUCACCUUUUGUUUAUUCUUUUAGUAUCAUAAAUAAGAAAUCAUUGCCUAAUCUAAUGUUAUAUGUAUUUUCCUUGUAAACCAUUUAAAGUGUCUUAUAGUUUUAAUUUUUCAUUUUGGUCUUUGAUCCACACUGCAUUCAUUUUUUACAUAUGGCCUAAGUGUCCAGCUUUAUCUGCCUGCAUAGGGAUACCCAGUUUUCCCAGCAUCAUUUGUUGAAAAGAUUUUCCUUGUUCCAUUGAAAAGAACUGGUUAAAGUUCAUCUGUGUGUGUAAUAGGUAAUUUCUGGGCUAUUUUGUUACAUUAAUCUAUACCAUUUUCAUUAACAAUUUUAAUAUUGAACACACACUGAAAUACUAUUUUAAAUAAAUUAAAUAAUGCUUGAAAUUAAUUUUGUCUGUUUUCUUUUACUUUUUCAAUGUAACCCCUAGAACACUUAAAACCACACAUAUGGCUUCCAUUCUAUUUCUGCUGGAGAUGCUCUAAACUGGAGUCACAGGCAAUGUGGAAAGCAGCUGGAACACUGUAGGAUAAACUGAUUAAGCCAGAAGAGAGUGUUGGAUCCCCUGGAAUUGGAGUUACAGGAGGCUGUUAGGAGCCAUGUCUGUGUUGGGAAUUGAACCCAGAUCUUCUGGAAGAGCAAACCUUCAUCUGGAGAUGGAUGGAAAUAGAGACAGAGACCCACAAUGGAGCACUGGACUGAGUUCCCAAGGUCCAUAUGAAGAGCAGAAGGAGGGAGAACAAGAGCAAAGAAGUCAGGACCGCAAGGGGUGCGUCCACCCACUGAGACGGCGGGACUUAUCUAAUGGGAGAUCACCAAGGCCAGUUGGACUGGAACUGAUGGAGCAUGUGAUCAAACCGGACUCUCUGAAUGUGGCUGAUGGUGGAGGCUGAUGGAGAAGCCAAAGACAAUAGUGCUGGGUUUUGAUUCUACUGCAUGGAUGGGCUUUGUGGGAGCCUAGUCUGUUUGGAUGCUCACCUUCCUGGACCUGGGGGAAGCAGG